GAAAUGAGUAGCGCGGCGAACGGGUGAGUAACACGUGAGAAUCUACCCUUUAGUGAGGAAUAACCUCGAGAAAUUGAGAAUAAUACCGCAUACGUCCCUUCGGGGAGAAAGGUGGCUUUUAUGCUGCCGCUAAAGGAUGAGCUUGCGUACUAUUAGUUUGUUGGUGGGGUAAUGGCCUACCAAGACGAUGAUGGUUAGCCGGCCUGAGAGGGUGAUCGGUCACAUUGGAACUGAGACACGGUCCAGACUCC
rnacentral:rRNA from 1 species